UUAAGUCAUGAAGAAAGUGUUACAGAAGACAUCUUGCUGUCAUUUAAGAUGAAGAUAUCCAACAUGUUCUUCUGUGCUUUCCUGAUUCUCUCAGUAUUAACAGGUGACUCUUUUGAAAAUGUGAUAACAUCUCAUGGGUCUGUUAUACCUGCCAGAGAUGGUGAGACUGUUACUCUCUCCUGCAACUACAGUAUUACUCCAUAUGGCUUGUUUUGGUAUCGUCAGUAUUCCAGAUCCAAACCAGAAUUCCUCCUCUCCACCACUGAAUCUGGAGGAACUGUUAAAGCUGAUCCAACUGCACCGUUUUCUGCUACAGUUGAUAAAAGUCAGAGCAACAAAAUUCUGAGCCUGGUGAUCUCCUCUGCUGCAGUAUCAGACUCUGCACUCUACUGUGGAAAAUACCCAGCACUGAAUCAUACGUUUACUCUAAGCGGUACUGCACGCAUGCGCGACUGA